rnacentral:rRNA from 1 species
AGCGGCGGACGGGUGAGUAACGCGUGGGAAUAUGCCCAGAUCUGCGGAAUAGCCUCUGGAAACGGAGAGUAAUACCGCAUACGCCCUUCGGGGGAAAGAUUUAUCGGAUUUGGAUUAGCCCGCGUUGGAUUAGGUAGUUGGUGGGGUAAUGGCCUACCAAGCCGACGAUCCAUAGCUGGUUUGAGAGGAUGAUCAGCCACACUGGGACUGAGACACGGCCCAGACUCCUACGGGAGGCAGCAGUGGGGAAUCUUAGACAAUGGGGGAAACCCUGAUCUAGCCAUGCCGCGUGAGUGACGAAGGCCCUAGGGUCGUAAAGCUCUUUCGCCAGGGAAGAUAAUGACGGUACCUGGUAAAGAAACCCCGGCUAACUCCGUGCCAGCAGCCGCGGUAAUACGGAGGGGGUUAGCGU